rnacentral:ncRNA from 1 species
GACUCUGGAGAAACCCUUCAAGGGUGCCGAAGGUGCAAAGUAUCUGCGCAAAGCAGAUAUGGAAUCUCUCAGGCAAAAGGACAGAGUUG